CCACCGGGCGGUGGCGCAGAAGUGACCACGAACGGUCCGCCAAAGAGGGUGACAGCCCCGUAUGUAGUGCCGCUGCCUAACGAGUGGGUCGUCGAAGAGUCGGGUUGUUUUGUAUUGCAGCCCUAAGUGGGAGAUAGACUUCUUCUAAGGCUAAAUAUAUAUGGGAAACCGAUAGCGAACAAGUACUGUGAAGGAAAGAUGAAAAGAACUUUGAAAAGAGAGUCAAAAGACUUGAAAUCGUUGAGAAGGAAGGGGUAGAAAUUUAUUCUUCGUCGUAGACCGGUGUUAGUCGCCUAACCAUUGCGAGCUUCGAGCACUUAAUCGGCUCUGGUUCGCACCUGGGGAAGCGGCUGGCUUGGGCUGCGGCGUGAGGCAAGAUGGGGUCGCGCGGCCACAAAGGCUUCUCACGACCGGUUCUCUUCGGAGGGCAGCGUGGGUGUGCUGGUGGAAGUGCGGCCUGAGGAAGCUUCGGCGAUCUUGCCAAAAUGGUUUUUACCCACCCGUCUUGAAACACGGACCAAGGAGUCUAACAUCUAUGCGAGUGUGCUGGUGGAGAAACCAACACGCGUAAUGAAGGUGAGCGAUGCCAAGCGCAAGCAGCAGCAUCGACCGACCAUGAUCCUCUGGAGAAAGGUUUGAGUACGAGCAUACAUGUUAGGACCCGAAAGAUGGUGAACUAUGCCUGAGUAGGGUGAAGCCAGGGGAAACUCUGGUGGAGGCUCGUAGCGGUACUGACGUGCAAAUCGUUCGUCAAACUUGGGUAUAGGGACGAAAGACUAAUCGAACCAUCUAGUAGCUGGUUCCCUC
rnacentral:misc_RNA from 1 species